rnacentral:ncRNA from 1 species
ACCGCCGAUCCCGAAAAGCGGAUAUUAAACAGAGUAGGGG